rnacentral:rRNA from 1 species
UGGGGAAUUUUGGACAAUGGGCGCAAGCCUGAUCCAGCAAUGCCGCGUGCAGGAUGAAGGCCUUCGGGUUGUAAACUGCUUUUGUACGGAACGAAAAGGCUCUGGUUAAUACCUGGGGCUCAUGACGGUACCGUAAGAAUAAGCACCGGCUAACUACGUGCCAGCAGCCGCGGUAAUACGAAGGGUGCAAGCGUUACUCGGAAUUACUGGGCGUAAAGCGUGCGUAGGUGGUUGUUUAAGUCUGCUGUGAAAGCCCUGGGCUCAACCUGGGAACUGCAUUUGUGACUGCAUAGCUAGGGUACGGAGGAGGGGGAUGAAAUUCCGCGUGUAGCAGUGAAAUGCGUAGAUAUGCGGAGGAACACCGAUGGCGAAGGCAAUCCCCUGGGCCUGUACUGACGCUCAUGCACGAAGGCGUGGGGAGCAAAC